CCUACGGGAGGCAGCAGUAGGGAAUUUUGCGCAAUGGGGGAAACCCUGACGCAGCAAUACCGCGUGAACGACGAAGCUCUUCGGAGUGUAAAGUUCUGUCAGUGGGGACGAAUUUUGACGGUACCCACAAAGGAAGCAUCGGCUAACUACGUGCCAGCAGCCGCGGUAAGACGUAGGAUGCAAGCGUUGUCCGGAAUCAUUGGGCGUAAAGCGUUCGUAGGCGGCAUGUCAAGUCUGAUGUUAAAGCCCGGAGCUCAACUCCGGUUCGGCAUUGGAUACUGGCAAGCUAGAGUGCAAUAGAGGUAGGGGGAAUUCCUAGUGUAGCGGUGAAAUGCGUAGAUAUUAGGAGGAACACCGGUGGCGAAAGCGCCCUACUGGGUUGUAACUGACGCUGAGGAACGAAAGCCAGGGUAGCAAGUGGGAUUAGAUACCCCAGUAGUCCUGGCCGUAAACGAUGGAUACUAGGUGUUGCGGGUAUCGACCCCCGUAGUGCCGUAGUUAACGCGAUAAGUAUCCCGCCUGGGGAGUACGCACGCAAGUGUGAAACUCAAAGGAAUUGACGG
rnacentral:rRNA from 1 species